AAUUUGAAAGUAAGUCCCAAGCUCUUGACCCCUCAAAGAGAAUGCUGGAGACAUGAAUUGGGUCUGCCUUACAAACAUACAAACACAUUUAUUUACUUGGCAGACGUACCUGAGAAUGAGAGGUGUGAAUCUGGGGUGGAACCCAGGAACACUGAUUUCUGGAAAAGAGUUUGGAUGGUGGUAGUAAAGGGGAUAUGGCUGUGGCUCUUGCCCUUUUUGCUCCAGGAAGUGGACAAAAUUAUCCUACAGAUGAUGCGAGUGGCUGAAUACCUGGAUUGGGAUGUGUCUGAGCUGAGGCCGAUUCUUCAGGAGAUGAUGAAAGAGAUUGACUAUGAUGGGAGUGGCUCUGUCUCUCAAGCUGAGUGGGUCCGGGCUGGGGCCACCACCGUGCCACUGCUAGUGCUGCUGGGUCUGGAGAUGACUCUGAAGGACGAUGGACAGCACAUGUGGAGGCCCAAGAGGUUCCCCAGACCAGUCUACUGCAAUCUGUGCGAGUCAAGCAUUGGUCUUGGCAAACAGGGACUGAGCUGUAACCGUGAGUAAUGGGAGCUGGGAGGUGGGGGAAGAGGGUCAGCCCAGCUAUCUGUGGGAGCUUGACGCUGUGAACUUAGAAAGACCUA
rnacentral:sRNA from 1 species